AUCUUCUACAUCCUAGUCCUUGUGUUCCAUCGUCCGGCUUAUGUUCUCCAUGUAACAUUAAGAUCAAAUGACUCUAUAAAAAAUAUGUCGAUACUUCCACAUAUUAUGGGCUGCAAGAAAACAGCAGCGAUGCUACUGGAAAGUACAACUUUUGUAUUGAAGAUACUGAAAUGUUUUAUUUUCUUUAUACUUCACGUCAUGCUGGAGUUGAAGAUGUCAUGUACGCCUCACCGUACACUACUUGGAGAUGAUUAACACGCUUCAUGGCUAGCUCUAGGAGACGACGGGGAGGGGACAUG
rnacentral:lncRNA from 1 species